UCAGAGCGAACGCUGGCGGCAGGCUUAACACAUGCAAGUCGAGCGGGCGUAGCAAUACGUCAGCGGCAGACGGGUGAGUAACGCGUGGGAACGUACCUUUUGGUUCGGAACAACACAGGGAAACUUGUGCUAAUACCGGAUAAGCCCUUACGGGGAAAGAUUUAUCGCCGAAAGAUCGGCCCGCGUCUGAUUAGCUAGUUGGUGAGGUAAUGGCUCACCAAGGCGACGAUCAGUAGCUGGUCUGAGAGGAUGAUCAGCCACAUUGGGACUGAGACACGGCCCAAACUCCUACGGGAGGCAGCAGUGGGGAAUAUUGGACAAUGGGGGCAACCCUGAUCCAGCCAUGCCGCGUGAGUGAUGAAGGCCCUAGGGUUGUAAAGCUCUUUUGUGCGGGAAGAUAAUGACGGUACCGCAAGAAUAAGCCCCGGCUAACUUCGUGCCAGCAGCCGCGGUAAUACGAAGGGGGCUAGCGUUGCUCGGAAUCACUGGGCGUAAAGGGUGCGUAGGCGGGUUUUUAAGUCAGGGGUGAAAUCCUGGAGCUCAACUCCAGAACUGCCUUUGAUACUGAAGAUCUUGAGUCCGGGAGAGGUGAGUGGAACUGCGAGUGUAGAGGUGAAAUUCGUAGAUAUUCGCAAGAACACCAGUGGCGAAGGCGGCUCACUGGCCCGGUACUGAC
rnacentral:rRNA from 1 species